rnacentral:lncRNA from 1 species
CUAAUUUAGGAGUGGUUUGUUACACAGCAAAUGCUUACUGAUACAGAGAGUGAACAUUUAAUGUUGACUAUAUUGGAUUUUUUGUAUCUGGAUAAUGAGACAUUUUUAACUUUCUGAGAGUGAGCGGAAAAGUAUAUGAUCUGCCUAAGAGAGCGUCCAUGUUGGGAAAAAUUCACCUAAGAGCUAGAUGCUCACCCAUGUCAGUUAUGACUCUGCCAGUUCUAAAUACUGCUGUGCAAUUUCUAGAAUCUUACCACAUUCCAAGCUCGUCCACUUUGUUGUAAGUCACUUGAGGCUGAGAAUCAUAGCCAUUUAUCUUCCUGUACUGCAGGUUCUCUGGAGCUGCAAGAAGCCAAGGAGCUCUCUUUCUUUCUCCACUGUCCCAAGACAGCCAAAGUAUGCCACGUCUCCAUCAGUGCUCAGAGUCAGACAAGACGGGAACCAGACCCUCAGGCAGCCCUCUGAAAAGCUGGAAUAUUGGACAUACAUUCCACUCUUCUCUCUCUCCUUUUCUCUCUCCCCAGCGGCAAAGUCAAGAAUUGGGCAUUGACUUGUAAUUGUGGUGGGAUGUGCUGGCUUGGGGAAGGCACUACGUGGUGAGAUAAAAUGGCUUUUCUAACCAGUUUCAGUGUGGCUAUUCUUGGCUUUGAGCAUGGCUUGGGUAUUGCAACAUCUUAACUAACUUAACUGAUUUCUGAAGUUAUGUUGUUGUUAAGUCAGUGUCUCUAUGGAAGAACAAGGUCUGGGGCUUUCCAUUUUGUCCUCUUGCUUAAUAGACAAGAUUUUAAAAGAGAAAAUGGUAUGACAGAGGAGUGAGAGGGAAGAUAGUUGGAAGUUAUGAAGACAAGAGAAUGUUUUUCAGUGUAGCAGGUACUAGAACAUAUUGCAUGCUGAUGAGAACAAAUCAGUUGAGACUGAGAGACUAGAGAUAGUGGUUUUCAAACUUUUCUGUGCAUUAGGCACAUAUCUCAUGCUUCUGAAAACACAUCGGCUCCAUCCCAGAGAUUCAGUAGGUCUGGGACGGGGCCCUAGAAUUUGCAUUUCUAACAGGUUCCCAGGUGAUGAUGAUCCAGUUGGUUCAGUGACCACACUCUGAGGGCUACUGCUUUAGAAAAAGGAGGGAAUGGUGGUAUUGAGAAGAAGAGAGGAGCCUGGAUGCAAAAUGCAAAAAUAUGGAUUUUUCUUUCUUGGCUUUGCUGUCUCAGGAACAUUGAGGGUCAGUGUUGGUCAAUCAAUGUUGGUCAACCAAUGUUGGUCAGUCAGCCAGCUUAAGUGGUGUGUUUUGUUUCAUGGUUACAGAAACUGUAGGACUAAUAGGGAGAGCACUCGUUUCAACAUUUUCCUCUAUUGUCUCUAUAAGUGUAUCUGUUCUUCUCAGAUCUCUUCCUAUAUAGAUGCACAACAUGAGGUUCUCGCUGCAUUUCACACCAGCUCAGUUAGUUCACCCUCAGCCACAUGAAAUUCCUCUUUCUUUGCCCUGAAUUCUCACCUCCCUUUCACAACUUUUUCAGAUGCCUGUAAAGUCCUAAUCUUCUCCUCAGGUAGCAAUUUGGACCAGGUGUAGCGACUUGUCUGACAGGAUCAGUGAGACUUGAGGGGAACUCUGGGGACAUGGACCUCAUCAGCUUGUCAACAGAGAUUCCAGCAUUGGCCACAUUUUAAUUUUUGCAACAAUUCACACAUCGGGGAAACCAGACCCUGGUAAGCUCCUCGAAGUGCUAGAAGUCUCAAAAACAUGGCAACAGCCCAGGGGUUUUGACAGAAUCUGAAUAUUGCCCUCUCAAUUCACCGUAGCAGAAUUUACGUCAGCCAUGAAAAAAAUAAACACGGUAAACCUGUGAUGUGCA